rnacentral:rRNA from 1 species
UUCCCCUGAAGGGCCGUCGAAGACUACGACGUUGAUAGGCUGGGUGUGUAAGCGUUGUGAGGCGUUGAGCUAACCAGUACUAAUUGCCCGUGAGGCUUGACCAUAUAACACCCAAACA